rnacentral:lncRNA from 1 species
AUGUUCUCAAAAACCCCGUAUUUCGGAAUCUACAAGAUAGUGGAUGACAGAACUGUUGAGUCAUGGAGUCCGAUGAAGCUUUGACAGCUUAGGUGCUUCUCAGCUUUCGGAUCUUCCAAAGUUGACCUUAAGAAAGCUGACUGUCUGGCCCUCUCUAUGCAUCAGCUGACGAUCAGACUAAUGAGCAAAAUUAAAAUUACGGGCUUGGCCCGUAUGGACAUUAGUCAUUAACCCUAAGCUGCCUAUUAUAUAAACAACUCUAUGAAUUUUAGUUAUAGAAGGGUAUCAUUUGCAUUGCAAUGCAGCUUGUAAAACAUACAGCUAAUCACAAUGUUUUCUUUCUGAGAAUAUAUUCUUCUCAACUUCAAAUCACAAAAUAGUAACAGAUGACCACAAAAGUCAGACCAUAACCUUUAUGCACUCUUUAUUGGGAUUUGACUCCCUAUACCAUUACAAAAAAAAAAAAACAACAGUCAGGCCAUUAGUUUCUAAGACCCACUGUUAUGGGGCGCGAAAAGUGGGGUUUUUUGGGCCAUAACGCCCCAUAGCGCCCCGCACACCGCGACGGGCGGCGUUAUGGGGCAAAAAAAGGGGGGAGGCGCCAUGCAUUUCGCGGCGUUAUGGAGCUUCUUUUCAUAAUUUUGACCAAUCACAAAAAAAGCAAGGUUUUUAUAAUUAAUUAAUAAAAUUGAAAAUUAAUAAUUAGGUAAUGAUGGGUAGGGGCUUUAUGACUACGGACUCUAGUGAUAUAAUACCCCAUAAAGCCCCCGUGUGACGUGGCACGACACGUGUCGCAUAACGCCCCACAAGGGGCUUUAUGACUACGGAUGGCCUAAAAGGGAUGAGUAAUUUCGUACUGAAUAUUAAUACAAAUACCAACCGAACAUAUAUGGUACGGUAUUCGGUAUUUAUCUCAACUUCAGUAUCGAUAUUAUGCAGUACGGUACCCAUUCGGGACUUUUAAUGGUACCGUACCAUAUUAGGUACAAUAUUUGGUUUUAGUUUUGCUAAAUUUUGGCUGUACCGAUUUCUGAUGCCAAACCUGCUACAUAAUAAAGCAUAACUGAUUUCAAUUUCAUCAUCAAACUUGCAACAACAGUUUAUUCGUCCUACUUGACUAAAACAAAACUGCUUUGACAUUAUUCACCAAACCUAAAACUCAUAUUUCAUCAUCACUUCAUUUUUCAUACUUUAUUACUAACUAAUAAACUCAUCAACAUAUCAAUGUACGUAUAAAUUGCAAAUGAUCAAACAAGCUAAACUAACCUGAGGAAUCUCAGCAACGUAUUGCCUUGGAUUCGUUUGCCUCACAGAUAAUUGACAAUCCUUACAAAAAAA